UACGUAGGGACCAAGCGUUGUUCGGAUUUACUGGGCGUAAAGGGCGCGUAGGCGGCGUGUUAAGUCACUUGUGAAAUCUCUAAGCUUAACUUAGAACGGUCAAGUGAUACUGAUGUGCUAGAGUGCAGAAGGGGCAACCGGAAUUCUUGGUGUAGCGGUGAAAUGCGUAGAUAUCAAGAGGAGCACCUGAGGUGAAGACGGGUUGCUGGGCUGACACUGACGCUGAGGCGCGAAAGCUAGGGUAGCAAACGGG
rnacentral:rRNA from 1 species